rnacentral:rRNA from 1 species
AACGAGGAUUCCCUUAGUAACGGCGAGUGAACGGGGAAAAGCCCAGCGCUAAAUCCUGUUGCUCUAACGGGUAACGGGAGGUGUAGCGUAUAGUAGACGACUUUCCUUGAUGGCUGUCGACUUAAGUUCUCCUUGACUGGGGUUCCAUAGAAGGUGAAAGGCCUGUUCAGUCGAUGGCGCGCCGUCUUGGAUUCCGUUCUACUUAGAGUCGGGUUGUUUGGGAACGCAGCCCAAAUUUGGUGGUAAACUUCAUCUAAGGCUAAAUACGGCCACGAAACCGAUAGCAAACAAGUACCGUGAGGGAAAGUUGAAAAGUACUUUGAAGAGAGAGUUCAAGAGGACGUGAAACCAGUAGGAUGGAAACGGAUAGAGCCAACAAACAAGCUCGUAUUCAGCUAGUCGAUUGCAAGCAGCUUGCUUGUGCGUCAGUUAAUGAUGCAUUGGUAGGUGUCGCUGGUGAUCGGCUUAGUGCAUUUGCGGGUAAUGUGCGCUGAGACGUGUGAUCGAGCAUUACAAACUGUUCGGAGAGGCCUUGCUUCGGUUUGGUACCUACGAACGGGGAGUAUUCGUUUCGUUGUUGCAUGUAGAUUGUUAGGUUAGGUACAGACGCAGUGUCGUGUUGUCAGGCAGACGCCGUAGUGAGUCGCAUGCGACGAUCUACGAUGUUCGGUUUUGGCAGCGCGUUAGUGCCCAUAACCUGUUCUCGGUGUAAAAGUUGGUCAUCUCUCCGACCCGUCUUGAAACACGGACCAAGGAGUCUAGCGUAUGCGCGAGUCAUUGGGUGGAAAACCCAUAGGCGAAAUGAAAGUGAAGGUCUUCGUUCGGAGGCUAAUAUGCGAUCCGUUGCGUUACGGCGUACGCGGAGCAGCAUAGCCCCAUCUCGACGGCUUGCCGUGGGGUGGAGGUAGAGCGUAUUCGCUGGUACCCGAAAGAUGGUGAACUAUGCCUGAGCAGGAUGAAGCCAGAGGAAACUCUGGUGGAGGUCCGAAGCGCUUCUGACGUGCAAAUCGAUCGUCUGACUUGGGUAUAGGGGCGAAAGAC